CCGCUUGCACCUCGGCGAUCCCCGACUCCCUUCUUUAUGGCGUCGCUCCUGUGCUGUGGGCCGAAGCUGGCCGCCUGCGGCAUCGUCCUCAGCGCCUGGGGAGUGAUCAUGUUGUAAUCCACCCACCGCCACUUCAAGAAGAAAUGAUAUGAAGAAGUGCCGGUUCUCCCUCCCCUCUUCCGCACUGUCCCGUGAUGAUGACGCCUCCAGAGAGGACGAUAAUCUGGGUUCCUGGGAGAGAUGGCUUGGUCACUAUUCCCACCCUUGCCUCGGCCACUUGUCUCAAUGUCACCACCUCACGCCCUGUUCCAGGUGGCUGAGUCCGAAUCCAGUAACCACCACCUCGUUUUGGUUAAUCUCAGGCUCGGGUGUUGUAGCAACAUUGGAAAUGGGAGGGGUUUACGAAGUGAACAUGAGGUCAGGUGCCUGAAUUCAACAGUCUACCCAUUCCCCUUUUCCAGAUAAUGCUCGGAAUAUUUUUCAAUGUCCAUUCCGCUGUGUUGAUUGAGGACGUUCCCUUCACGGAGAAAGAUUUUGAGUAAGUAUUCGGGUGGGGGAGGCGGGCUGGGAGCAGGUGGGAGGUGGCGAGGCCUAGGGUCAGAAUUACGUCUGG
rnacentral:sRNA from 1 species